CACACACACACACACACACACACACACACACACACACGUAUAUAUCAUUAAUAACAAUUUACUAUAUAUGAUAUAUUAUAUCAUUUAUUUUUUUUUAUAUGUGGUUUAAAGUGUAUCAAGUUAGUACCCUGUGGUUUCGCACUUUCUCACUUUAGUACCCCGUGGUUUAAAAACCAUAGGGUACUAACUUGAUAUAAAAAAUAAAACAACAUGGUACUAAUUUGAUACAAAAAUAAAAUCACAGAAUACUAACUUGAUACACUUUAAACCACAUGGUACUAAAGUGAUAAAGUGAGAAACCACAGGGUACUAACUUGAUACAUUUUAAACCACAGGGUACUAAAAUGAAAAAGUGCGAAACCACAGGAUUUUUUUUUGAAGUUUUCCCUAAAUAUUAUAUAUAUAAUUAAAUAUUUUU
rnacentral:lncRNA from 1 species